rnacentral:rRNA from 1 species
UGGGGAAUCUUGCGCAAUGGGCGAAAGCCUGACGCAGCAACGCCGCGUGAGGGAUGAAGGCCUUCGGGUUGUAAACCUCUUUCAAGCAGGGACGAUAGUGACGGUACCUGCAGAAGAAGCUCCGGCCAACUACGUGCCAGCAGCCGCGGUGAUACGUAGGGAGCGAGCGUUGUCCGGAUUCAUUGGGCGUAAAGAGCUCGUAGGCGGCUCAGUAAGUCAGGUGUGAAAUCCUCAGGCUCAACCUGGGGUCGCCAUCUGAUACUGCUGUGGCUAGAGCCCGGUAGGGGCGCACGGAAUUCCUGGUGUAGCGGUGAAAUGCGCAGAUAUCAGGAGGAACACCGGUGGCGAAGGCGGUGCGCUGGGCCGGAGCUGACGCUGAGGAGCGAAAGCGUGGGGAGCGAACAGGAUUAGAUACCCCCGUAGUCC